AGCCGAGCCGAGCCGAGCGGCAGCAACAAGUUCAAAAGGUGUUGCUGCAUUCCCUUGUUCCGAAACGCCGGGGACUCUGAGAUUUCAACUAUCCGCUCGUUCGUGGAAAUGCCACAGGAAGUGAUUAGGUGAGGUCUAUCCACAUUAUCGAGAGUCCAUUGCUUUUUAUUGCUGACUUAAUACCGCACUUGGAUGAAGCAGUCACCUGCUGAAGGACAUCUGGAGAGAUUCCAGUUUGGGCCUUUUAUGAAUAAAGCUGCUGUGAACAUUCUCGUUACAGGAAACAAAGCUCAAGAAGGUGAAAUGAUGUUCCAAGAUUACUUCGUAUACCUGAGUGGCAAAAGCUGACUCAUUUCCAGGCCUUCUAACCCUAAGUCGCAUAUCCUUUUAGGUCUGCAAACACGCCAGUAUCUACAAUAGCAGAGUCUUUGUCAGUUUGCUGUUUUCAUGCUGGUGAUGAAUCUGCAGACAGGUGCAUACUAUGUUAUUCAGCCUCCGUGGCACAUCUCUGAGAGGUCUUUGGCCAGGGCAGGAAAAUCCGUCGGUGGUCAUGGAAAACGGGAGUACUGCAUCUGCUCAUUCCAUAUUUUAACCAAUUACGCUAACUGCCCAGAGUGAUAAGCACAUUUUAAUGUCUCACUCAAUGGCAUAUUUCACAUAAGACAGUUUUAGUAUUUCUGACUACGUUCUUAGAACCUCUUCCAAGACAAGCCUUUCUGAGAGUCUGUAUUAGCUUAUUUUAUUUUAUUUUUACCUAUUUUUUACUUAGGUAUAAUUGACACAUGACACUGUAUUUGUUUAGGUGUACAGAAUAAUGAUUUGACGUAUGUAUAUAUUGCUAAAGGAAUAAAUUUAGUUAAAACCCAUCCCCACACAUAAUUACACAUUUUUUCUUGUGAUGAGAAUUUUGAGAUCUACUUUCUUAAUAGCACUGUAUUAUAUAUUUGGAAGUUGCUGACUGUAGACAGCAUACUUUGUAUUCCAUCCCCAUAAUUUGUAUACCUCAUAACUGGAAGUUUAUAUCUUUUGAACAUUUUCAUCUAUUUCCUAAUAACCCUGUAUGAGGUUUCUUAAAAUACAGUAUCAUCUUUAUUAAAGAAACAAAAUCCUACAUUAAGAAAGAAUUCAAUCGACUUGUAAAAUGAACAAAAUUUUUGGCAAGAAACUAAAAUCUUAUGCAUUAAAUCUUGAUUAAGUUCUAGCAAUUAAAAAGAAAUUUGUUUUGUUAAAUAUCAGGAAAGAAAAUAAACAUCUUUACCCUAAAAUAUCUGAUCACAAAUUGUAAACAGAGAAACAUAGAGAAAUAGAAAUAAAAAUAAAUUUUAUUCACAUUCUAGAUUCCAUAUUAUUCCGAGUUAGGCCAAUAAAUGUACUUUAUCCAAAGGUAAUUUUGGUUUGGUUUGAAUCCUUUGGUCAUCAGAAGUACACAAAAAGUACACACAAAAAAAGCUGUCUUCUAGGAAAAUAAAAAUAAAAUCUGACAUACCAGUAAGGUAGGGGGGACAUGAGAAAGUCACAGAAUGGGUAAGGGCUAGUUAAAUGCUUAAAACAUACUUGAGAUUUCAAAUACCUCACAGUAUCCCUGGAAUAUGGUCAUCAGGGAAAGGGCGGUGACCCUGUGUCUUUUUUUGGACCACUAUUAAAAAGAUAGGUUGGCAACCUACGUUUAACUUCUUUUUUAACUUCCUUUUCCCCUUUAUUAAUACUGCAAAGUGCUCUUCAAAGUCCUCUUCAAAGGAUCUUCCUCUCUUUAAGUUUUGGACCUUGAACAUCUCCUAUUAAAAAUAACCCAUUUUCAGGAACUUUAUGCCUCAUAUACAGAACAUCUUAAACAUAUUUUAUAUUUUAUAUGAAAUGGACUUGACUUUCCAAGUUCCCACACAGAGAUACAAAAAUCUAGCCAUCAGGUUACAGCUUCCGUUCUGCCUCAUGGGAUGGCGAUUGUUAUGAAGAAGCGUAGGGGUUGUUUUUAAUAUAAAGAACAUAUUUUUGUUGUUAAAAUAUUCAUGAAAUGACAGACGGUGGUGCACAUGGCGUUCCCAUGAUCUAAAAAGGCAGGGGACGGAUUAGAGGGAAAACCCCAGUGUUAAUCACUUACCAGGUGCAAAGCACCGCAUUGCAGGUGCGCGUGGCCCAGCAUGACCUGCCCUCGGGGAGCUUGACCCUGAGGUGCAAAGGGGAGCACGGAAACCUCUCUUAACCCAAAAGUAACCCUACUUGUGAGUCUCAUUUCAGACUAUUUUCCCCAAAUGCUUUACCCUGAGAAACUGUUUGUGUGUUAGGGAUGGGAAAGGAGGGAAGGUUUGCUUCUGGGUCUCAUUUUCAUACUUAGGACUUUGGGAUUAAUUGCUACGGAAUAAUUCCAGCGCCGUAAAAACAGGAGAAUUGUGACUACAACCUGGAAGAAGCAGCGAGUGUUCCCAAGAAAUAAAAGCGUUCUUUCUCUAAAACUGCGGAAAAGUAAAUUUUUGCAGAUGUUCCUAACGUGGGCAAAGAAGAUAAAUUACUCCGGAUAGUUUACGGUCAUUGAAAAUCUUGAGGAAGUCUAUAAAGUUCUCACCGAUUAAGAAGCCACGUUCUGUGAGAAAAUUGGCAAUUAAUUUGCUUGUUUACUCUCUUUAAAACUGUUUGAUAUGCUCUGGCAAAGCCACUUUGAUACACAAGUAUAUUUGCUUCAUUAGUUCUACGCACGAUCAUGUAGUUGGCUUUAAUAAAUCACUCAAAAUAGUGGCAUGCAAGGCAAAGCAGAACAAUGUAAUACUUUAAGAUGUUUGGCUAAUAGAGGAUCCCUGCACUCCCCCACUUUUUUAGGCGUUGGUAUUAUGUAAAUCUUGCUUGUUUACAAUUUAACCUGUGCUGGAUUUUAAUUUAAAUAAAGAAAAUUAUUUAAUGGAGGGUUAUUAAACAGGUUUCACAUUGCAGGUGUUCCAGUCCCCCAGGUGGAUACUCACUGAGGGAGCUUAUUAAA
rnacentral:lncRNA from 1 species